rnacentral:lncRNA from 1 species
GGAGCAUCGGGUAGGGUUCUUCCCAUGACUGUAAGGUAGUGAUGUUUCCUUUUCCUCCACAGCCCAGGCUUGCAUCCCUCCCUGCGGUCUCCAGGAGUUCGCCCGGCGUUUCCUCUGCAGCGGGUGCUACUCUAGGGUCUGCGACCUCCCGCUGGACUGCCCAGGUGAGGGGGCGGGGCCUCGGGGUGCAGGAGGCCAACCUGAGAAACGGGACCAGAGCACCGAGGGGCAUAAGCUGGUGGCGAGGCCAGACGUGGUCGGGGCCCAGCGAGUGAACCCUGCUCCGUCUUCAGUUCAGGAUGUGACAGUGACUCGGGGCGACCAGGCUAUGUUUUCUUGCAUCGUAAACUUCCAGCUGCCAAAGGAGGAGAUCACCUAUUCCUGGAAGUUCGCAGGAGGAGGUGUGAGUCGGGGCGGGGCCGGCGCGAAGAGUUUAGACGGGCGAGUUAGCCUUCACUAGAGGUUGGGGAGUCAGCUUGC